ensembl:lncRNA
CUAGUGACAGCCCUGCUAGCCAAUGACAACAACUUCUCCCUGAUCUUCCCCAGCCUUGCUUCCCAGUCCUGAGACUUGAAGAGCACAGAGGAAGGCCUCUUGUAGGUCAGUCACUGGCUCUGGACCAUUGACCACUACCACUGCUUUUACUUGGGAUGGUGUUCAAAUUGUGGGAUGUCUGAGAAAGCUGGGUUCCACGUUUUUGCUAUGCAACCUGUUCCUCACGUCCUGGACUUUGCCGGCUCCAGUCCUCAGUUGCCAUUCAGUAAGCAUUGUGACGUGUAAGGCUCUCAGGAGAAGCCAGAUCCCAGUGGCAUUAGUGUGACAAACAAGCUGUGCCCAAGGAGCUGACACUCUGGCAGAGUCCAGGACAUCCAGGAAGACAGAGGUGGUGAGAUAUCACCAACUAUGACUCUGACAUCCAAUGAAGCAGUCGAGGGCCAUGAUGCUUUUCUGACUGAGGCAACACAGCCUGGAGCCCAAAUCCCGAGGCUGUGCACCAAAGUCCUUCCGUUUGUCACUG